AGUCGGGGGGUACAUGGUAGCGAUACUGAUGACGACCGGCAAACGGGUGCGGAACACGUACAGAACCUUCCUUUAAGCGGGGAAUAGCCCAGAGAAAUUUGGAUUAAUACCCCAUAGUAUUAUUGUUUGGCAUCAAACAGUAAUUAAAGAUUUAUCACUUAGAGAUGGCUGUGCGUCUGAUUAGGUAGUUGGUGCGGGUAAUGGCCCACCAAGCCUUCGAUCAGUAACUGGUGUGAGAGCACGACCAGUCACACGGGCACUGAGACACGGGCCCGACUCCUACGGGAGGCAGCAGUAAGGAAUAUUGGUCAAUGGACGCAAGUCUGAACCAGCCAUGCCGCGUGAAGGAUGAAGGCCCUCUGGGUUGUAAACUUCUUUUAUGUGGGAAGAAAUGCAUUUUUUUUAAAGUGUUUGACGGUACCAUAGGAAUAAGCACCGGCUAACUCCGUGCCAGCAGCCGCGGUAAUACGGAGGGUGCAAGCGUUAUCCGGAUUCACUGGGUUUAAAGGGUGCGUAGGUGGGAAUGUAAGUCAGUGGUGAAAUCUCCGUGCUUAACAUGGAAACUGCCAUUGAUACUAUAUUUCUUGAAUUUUCCGGAGGUUAGCGGAAUAUGUCAUGUAGCGGUGAAAUGCUUAGAUAUGACAUAGAACACCAAUUGCGAAGGCAGCUAACUACAGGGAUAUUGACACUGAGGCACGAAAGCGUGGGGAUCAAACAGGAUUAGAUGCCCUGGUAGUCCACGCCCUAAACGAUGGAUACUCGACAUACGUGAUAGACAAUGUGUGUCUGAGCGCCAGCAUUAAGUAUCCCACCUGGGAAGUACGACCGCAAGGUUGCCACUCAAAGGAAUUGGCGGGGGUCCGCACA
rnacentral:rRNA from 1 species